ensembl:lncRNA
AGAAUUUGCGUCAAAACGCUUAUCCGCGUUAGCUGACUCCAGAGGGUUAAGACAAAGACUAUCCAGUGAGAAUGACGGUCCGCAGAACUGCCUUCCUCUAGAAGCCUUCGGCCUGGGAGCGCCACUCUGACUCUAGACUCAGCGGAGUACAAGAAGUGACGCCCCCAGAAUGAGGAGCUGGAACACGGAGAAUUUGCGUCAAAACGCUUAUCCGCGUUAGCUGACUCCAGAGGGUUAAGACAAAGACUAUCAAGUGAGAAUGACGGUCUGCAGAACUGCCUUCCUCUAGAAGCCUUCGGCCUGGGAGCGCCACUCUGACUCUAGACUCAGCGGAGUACAAGAAGUGACACCCCCAGAAUGAGGAGCUGGAACAGUAGGUUGGGACUAGUGAUGUGCCGGUCAGAUUUUUUCCAACCAGUGGGUCCCGCUUUUAUGAAAUUAUUUGGCCCGCCCCAGCCUGCCCCGCAAAUAAAGUAAAAUUUCUUUACCUGUCCCGCCCCGACCCGCGGGGUCUGCGGGCUAUGAGACAAACCCGCGCAUUGGGGACAUCACACAAGUUACGUUGCUACGUAUACCUUUGUAUUGUAACCUUAUCAAAAAACCCUAAAAAAAUCUGAAAAUAUAUAUUCCAAAUAUUUAAUAUAGGCUAUAGGGAAUUGCACGCAACAUACAUGGAUUUUUUUAUUUUGUUUUUAAUGACCUGCCCCAACCCACCCGGCAAAUAAUCUGCCAACUUCUUUACCCAACCAGACCAGCGGGUUACCGGCGGGGUCCGCGGGUUAUAAGACGACCUGCGCAUCACUAGUUGUGACUACUCCCGCCCUGCAGCCCCUGCUGACUGCUUCAACCUCCUCGGAGGAAGACAGAGGAUGAAGUGGAGCUGUCCAGAUGAACUGGAUCGAGAGUGUGGGAAUGAGUGCGGGCCAGCCCCUCUGCUGAAGCAGAGCUACAGAGCUUCAAAACCCAGGCGGAGGCAGAGGUCAGGAGCCGUCCAGAGAGCCUCCUUCAGCCCUGAUGAUAGGCACUGUACUUCCUCAAAAGCCUUAACCAAAUUAAAAGACACAAUGCACAAACACAAUGUAAAAGUGUAAAUACAUAUAGCAGGGUAGGUGGACAUUCAUCAUGGUGAGAAAUCUGCAUCUAUCGGUAAAAUAACCCUCAAGCACAUCCUCUGUGUAUGUCCUAGAUUCAGAUGGAUGUUUAUGGCUCAUACUUCCUCAGAGGAAUCUUAAGUUAUACACCAGAUUUCUCUUUCCGCACUUCAUUAAUAAUAUGUGCAGACUAAAAAUGCUGCCAUGUAUACCCUGAACUUUUGAGCAAAGGCUAAAGAUAAUCACCGCAGAGCUAUUUGCAAACAGGCCCGCCUGGCUUUGAGCCCAUGGCUCGCAGUGUUUUAUGAGCAUUGAUAAGAAAAUGAUUAAUUUCAAUGCUUUCGAUACACUACAAGUCUCAAAUAGCCUGUGUGAAGAUAAAAUAGCAAGAGACUCAAUGGUUAAGAACUAGCAUUGCAAAGCUAAUUUAUCAUUUCCCUGACACACAUGCUGUAAGUCAAAACAAGCAUUUUUUAGGACAUAAGUGCUCAAAGUCACCGCUAAAUAAGUGAAGAAAAUCAGGAGAUCCAGGAGUUAAAUUAAUUUAGAAAAAUCUGCAACACUUUAGUUUAGGGAUCGAUUCUCAGUAUUAACUUUUUGCUUAUUAGCAUGCAGAUUACUAGCAUUUUGGCUGUUCAUUAGUAUUAUAAAGCACAACUACCUUAUUAACUAUUAAUAAGCAGCAAAUUAAGAGUUUACUGAGGCAAAAGUCAUAGUUGAUAGUUAAUUUUGAGAAUUGGUCCCCA